AUGUUUGUGGGUGUGUUUUUUGUGAUAUUGUUCCUCUCAAAAUCAAUUGUUUUGAUGUCCAUGAACAUUGUAUUUCCUUUUGUUUUAAAUGUGAUUUUUUUGAUGAUCUUUCUAUUCACCGAUAUAGUUUACAUGGUUCAGAUAAAAUUGUGGUUAUUUCAAGGCAGGAAAAUGAGUCAUCCGGUCGUGCACCCGAUGGAGGUGGAGGUUCAGGCGGGCCAGCAGCCGCAGGUUAGAAUGGAUGACGUGCCAGGCAAGCCUGGCACGCUUUGCGGCCUUGGAUUGCGGUGUGCUCAGUUCAUCUGCGCUUCCAUCACGCUCUCUGUGAUGGCGAACACUCACUUCAGGCCCUUUCCUUCCUUUCGCUUUGUCAUCGCAGCUGUUGGUUUGUUGUUCUUGUGGAGCCUAGUACUGGCCCUGUUGGACAUCUACGCGCUACUUGCCAAGCGUCAUUUACGACACCCUCUGCUGAGUCGGCUUUUCUCCGUCGGAGAUGGGAUCACAGCAGUAACUAUGUACAGCGCAGCCUGCAUGUCAGGUGCUGUUUCCAGGUUCUUCAGCGACAGUGAGCUGUGCACAGCAAACCACUGUGUUAGCUACGUGAUUGCUAUAGCAUUUGCGUUCUUAGGUUGUGUUGCAAUUUCCCCAUCUUUUGUGCUGAACCUUAGUUCGUGGAUGGCAGCUUUGCCCCAUUAG
rnacentral:rRNA from 1 species